GUGUCAGCCGCCGCGGUAAGACGGAGGAUGCAAGCGUUAUCCGGAAUGAUUGGGCGUAAAGCGUCCGCAGGUGGCAAUUCAAGUCUGCUGUUAAAGCGCAGGGCUUAACUCUGUAAGGGCAGUGGAAACUGAAUAGCUAGAGUGUGGUAGGGGCAGAGGGAAUUCCCAGUGUAGCGGUGAAAUGCGUAGAGAUUGGGAAGAACAUCGGUGGCGAAGGCGCUCUGCUGGACCAUAACUGACACUCACAGGACGAAAGCUAGGGGAGCGAAUGGGAUUAGAUACCCCAGUAGUCCUAGCCGUAAACGAUGGAUACUAGGUGUUGUCUGUAUCGACCCGGACAGUGCCGUAGCUAACGCGUUAAGUAUCCCGCCUGGGGAGUACGCACGCAAGUGUGAAACUCAAAGGAAUUGGCGGGG
rnacentral:rRNA from 1 species